rnacentral:misc_RNA from 1 species
GUUUUAGGGCAUUUUAGUCAAAUUGAUUUUAUAGCUUUGAAGUUGUGGAGUUCAUUUACAAAUUCCAUUGAUAGUAUUAAAUUUCAUAGAAUUUAAAUCUUGAAGGUUAAACAAAUUUGUUUCUGUAUUCCAAAUAUGACAAGUAUGGAACUGCACAUGAACAAUGAAUUGAACAAAAAUUCCCAGAAUUCAUUUGUUCAAAAUGGUGUUAGUAUAUCUAUAUCUCCUGCCAGCAUGCAGCACUAGAUCAUUACAUGUGUAAUCCUCAAAAAGAAGUGGCUUGUUUUGUUUCCUAAUCUCCUAACUAGUGAUUUCUUUUUUUCCUUGUUAAAGUUUAGCCUAUGAUUGGCCAACUUAGAGUUUAAAAGAAGUGGGUACUUGAAGUCA